ACACACACACUGUGAGAAAUGACACUGAUUAAAAUGCUUUCAUUUUCAGGUUGUAGAACACCUCACAGUGCAGGCAUGGUCUCCUCAGACCUGAUGAUGAACUCCCUCAGGUUAUUAAAUACGAUUUUAUUGUGUGUUAAAGGUCUCUGUGCUACAGAACUGUCAUGUUCUACACCUGAGUGUUUAUCUCAGGAGGAAGCAGUACUCCAGAUCAGCAUGAACAUGCAGGAGAUCAGAGGGAUAUAACUUCAUGAAGCCCGGGUUCGCGGCCCACACGGGGCAGGGGCGUCCGGACAUGACAGUGAUGGAGCUCGUGACUGGGGCAGAAGUGAAGAACUCAGCAGCAGUGUGAGUGAACCUGAUGACCAUCUCUGUGGAACAUCUUAUAUAACUGACCAGCAUGAGGUCCAGCUGGAAAAGCAAACAUCUGCUUCAGCUAAUCUCACUGCCACAGAUGAUGAUGAUGAUGAAGAGCAGGUGUUACUUACUGAGUGA